rnacentral:rRNA from 1 species
ACGGGAGGCAGCAGUGGGGGAUAUUGCACAAUGGGCGCAAGCCUGAUGCAGCGACGCCGCGUGAGUGAAGAAGUAUUUCGGUAUGUAAAGCUCUAUCAGCAGGGAAGAAAAUGACGGUACCUGACUAAGAAGCUCCGGCUAAAUACGUGCCAGCAGCCGCGGUAAUACGUAUGGAGCAAGCGUUAUCCGGAUUUACUGGGUGUAAAGGGUGCGUAGGUGGCAUGGUAAGUCAGAUGUGAAAUACCGGGGCUCAACCCCGGAGCUGCAUUUGAAACUGCCAGGCUGGAGUGCAGGAGAGGCAAGCGGAAUUCCUAGUGUAGCGGUGAAAUGCGUAGAUAUUAGGAGGAACACCAGUGGCGAAGGCGGCUUGCUGGACUGUUACUGACACUGAGGCACGAAAGCGUGGGGAGCAAACAGGAUUAGAUACCCUGGUA